GACGAACGCUGGCGGCGUGCUUAACACAUGCCAGUCGAACGGAAAGGCCUCUUUCGGGGGGUACUCGAGUGGCGAACGGGUGAGUAACACGUGAGUAACCUGCCCUUGACUUUGGGAUAACUUCAGGAAACUGGGGCUAAUACCGGAUAGGAGCUCCUGCUGCAUGGUGGGGGUUGGAAAGUUUCGGCGGUUGGGGAUGGACUCGCGGCUUAUCAGCUUGUUGGUGGGGUAGUGGCUUACCAAGGCUUUGACGGGUAGCCGGCCUGAGAGGGUGACCGGCCAAAUUGGGACUGAGAUACGGCCCAGACUCCUACGGGAGGCAGCAGUGGGGAAUAUUGCACAAUGGGUGGAAGCCUGAUGCAGCAACGCCGUGUGCGGGAUGACGGCCUUCGGGUUGUAAACCGCUUUCGCUCAUGACGAAGCUUUGUGUGACGGUAGUGGGUAAAGAAGCACCGGCUAACUACGUG
rnacentral:rRNA from 1 species